rnacentral:rRNA from 1 species
AUUGAACGCUGUCGGCAGGCCUAACACAUGCAAGUCGAACGAGUGGCGGACGGGUGAGUAAUGUCUGGGAAACUGCCUGAUGGAGGGGGAUAACUACUGGAAACGGUAGCUAAUACCGCAUACCAUCUGAUUUGCCCAGAUGGGAUUAGCUUGUGGGUGGGGUAACGGCUCACCAAGGCGACGAUCCCUAGCUGGUCUGAGAGGAUGACCAGCCACACUGGAACUGAGAAACGGUCCAGACUCCUACGGUAGGCAGCAGUGGGGAAUAUUGCACAAUGGGCGCAAGCCUGAUGCAGCCAUGCCGCUGGUAUGAAGAAGGCCUUCGGGUUGUAAAGUACUUUCAGCGGGGAGGCGUUACCCGCAGAAGAAGCACCGGCUAACGCCGUGCCAGCAGCCGCGGUAAUUC